rnacentral:rRNA from 1 species
CAGAUUGAACGCUGGCGGAAUGCUUUACACAUGCAAGUCGAACGGCAGCACGGGGGCAACCCUGGUGGCGAGUGGCGAACGGGUGAGUAAUACAUCGGAACGUGCCCGGUCGUGGGGGAUAACGUAGCGAAAGUUACGCUAAUACCGCAUACGAUCUAAGGAUGAAAGCAGGGGACCGCAAGGCCUUGUGCUCCUGGAGCGGCCGAUAUCUGAUUAGCUAGUUGGUGAGGUAAAGGCUCACCAAGGCAUCGAUCAGUAGCUGGUCUGAGAGGACGACCAGCCACACUGGAACUGAGACACGGUCCAGACUCCUACGGGAGGCAGCAGUGGGGAAUUUUGGACAAUGGGGGCAACCCUGAUCCAGCAAUGCCGCGUGAGUGAAGAAGGCCUUCGGGUUGUAAAGCUCUUUUGUCAGGGAAGAAACGGUUUUGGCUAAUAUCCAGAGCUAAUGACGGUACCUGAAGAAUAAGCACCGGCUAACUACGUGCCAGCAGCCGCGGUAA